ACGGCCUCGCUCUCUUUUCCUUUCACUCACGCGGCACAGUCACCCACUCACCGCUCACUGCUCACUUCCAUCUUCCAUUCUUCCUCCUCCAUGCGGCCAUGUCUGAGAGAAUGAGAGCCUGAGAGAGCCAGAGAGCCAGAGAGCAUCGUCCAUUCAUCUCCAUCGCAGGCUUGCAGGCGUAGCAAAGAUUAGCAUCGUCGUGUAGCCAGCAGCAUCGUCCAGUUCGCGUCCUCGUGCAGUCCGGAGUCCACGCCGUCGUCCAGUCAUAAGCCGUCGGAACAAACCCUACGUCGUGGCAAGAAACCCUAAGCAGAGCAGCACUCCAGUCGCCGAGCCCUCUCCUGCAAAAAGCACAACAAUGUCUUCUUCGGAGUUUCAUGUUCCUUUGGAGGAGUGUUCAUCUGUGUUGGGAAUGUGCGAAUUUGACCCCUACUAAACUUUUUUUUCUUAAGUGUCAUGCAUGCAGUACGCACUACUUGCUGCUGGGAAGUAAGAGUGUUGGAAAGAUUCAAAUGAGUACUUCUAAAAUAUAUUUUUUCUGUAAUCAAGCUGAUUUACAAUUACAAUAGAUUUUUAGCUAGAGAUUCAGAUAGAGUUGUUUAUAAGUUAUUGUUAUUCAAAGAAGGAAAGUAAGAGUUUACGAGAUAUUAGAGUUC